GAGGGUGAACUCAGCCAAUGCCAAGGAACGAUUAUGUUUUCAAAAUAAAAACAUAAUUUAUGCGUACAUGACUUUUUAACAGUCUUGGAGGACUCGGUUGGGAUAGCCCUCGAUCAAGGCAUCCCUGAUAACUGAGUAUGAGAAUGAUUUUUGGCACGAGCCAAGCUUUUCAAGAAAUCAUAAGCCUAGUUGUUUAUUUGGUUGAAAUAUGUUGAAAGGUAAUGAAAUUACAAUAUGAUGAUUUAUUUUAAUUGUCUCCAUUUACUCGGCUUUAAAUAUUUUAGAUGGUAUUUGUUUACUUACUGAGAUUAUAUAAUCUCACCACCCUCCUUUCCACCCAUUUCAGGCUCAGGAUAGUGUGUAGAUAGCUGAUAUCAUCGAAGGCUAUAGUCAGCUUUACUACUCCAAAAACUGUAGGUUUACUGCCUUUGUGCACUUUUGUUCCUUGUGGGCCCACGAGUCAUUGUAAAGUAAAUUUCAUAUCACGGUUAUCUGUAUUGUAGUACGUAUGAAUUUAUUAAGCUUUUACAUUACAAAAAAAAUUAAUUACCGAU
rnacentral:lncRNA from 1 species